rnacentral:rRNA from 1 species
GUGCCAGCAGCCGCGGUAAUACGGAGGGGGCUAGCGUUGUUCGGAAUUACUGGGCGUAAAGCGCACGUAGGCGGAUCAGAAAGUUGGGGGUGAAAUCCCGGGGCUCAACUUCGGAACUGCCUUCAAAACUAUUGGUCUUGAGUUCGAGAGAGGUGAGUGGAAUUCCGAGUGUAGAGGUGAAAUUCGUAGAUAUUCGGAGGAACACCAGUGGCGAAGCGGCUCACUGGCUCGAUACUGACGCUGAGGUGC